rnacentral:pre_miRNA from 1 species
GCUUGCGAAUCUUGUGAUCUUUCGAGGGUUGUAGUUGACGUGUUUUGGUUUUAUAACUCAGUAAGAUCACAGGCCUUGCAUUU